rnacentral:rRNA from 1 species
UACCAGCACCCCGAGUGGUCGGGACGAUUAUUGGGCCUAAAGCAUCCGUAGCCGGUCCUACAAGUCUUCCGUUAAAUCCACCUGCUCAACAGAUGGGCUGCGGAAGAUACUAUAGGGCUAGGAGGCGGGAGAGGCAAGCGGUACUCAGUGGGUAGGGGUAAAAUCCUCUGAUCCAUUGAAGACCACCAGUGGCGAAGGCGGCUUGCCAGAACGCGCUCGACGGUGAGGGAUGAAAGCUGGGGGAGCAAAGCCGG